UCCUGCUGGGAUAGCUCAGUCAGUAGAGCAUGAGGCUCUUAAUCUCAGGUUUGAGGGUUCAAGUCCCACGUUGGGGAA